UUCAUAAUAAGAUCAGGUGCUUUUCCAACAAGUAAAAAUCUACCUUUUAGUGAGAAUUCCACUUUUAGUUUAGAUUUAAUGAACUUUUUUCUGAUUAUUGAAAGGCUACUACUAGAAAAAAAUUGUUAUCUGUUAUUGAAAUUCAUCAAAUGUCCCACCACACCUAAAAAUGAUAAAAUUGUAUAUGCAGGUAUUCUGAAUUAUUGACCUGCUUUCUUAUGUAGGCUGUGAUCCUCAUAAUUUUUGUGGUGAAUCCUAUUUUAUAUGAACGGACUGGUUCAGCUCUACUGGAAAAGCCAUGUUUUAGGGACAAUGGUGACACAAAUCUAGAAACAGUUUUAAAGGAAGCUUCCAUGGAAAACAAAACGGUUAUUCUAACAACUCUAAAUAAAGCAUGGGCAGAUCCAGAAAACUCAAUUUUGGAUCUAUUUUUGGAAAGUUUUAGAAUUUGUUACAAAACCAGUAAACUUUUAAAUCAUUUGGUGAUUAUUGCCCUUGAUCAGAAAGCAUUUAUGAGAUGUAAACAUGUACACUCUCAUUGCUUUGCACUUGUUACUGAAGGAUAUGAUCUCUCACAGGAAGCCUAUAUUAUGACCCUUGAUUAUUUGAAGAUGAUGUGGCUUAGGAUUGACUUUCUUCGUUCUGUUCUUGAGUUGGGAUACAACUUUCUCUUCACGGUUGUCCUCAUGCUUGAAGGGAUGGGUUCAUCAGCACAAAUCUUGAAACAUUACUUAUCAUUCA